UACCAGCACCCCGAGUGGUCGGGACGAUUAUUGGGCCUAAAGCAUCCGUAGCCGGUCCUGCAAGUCUUCCGUUAAAUCCACCUGCUUAACAGAUGGGCUGCGGAGGAUACUAUGGAGCUAGGAGGCGGGAGAGGCAAGCGGUACUUAGUGGGUAGGGGUAAAAUCCGUUGAUCCAUUGAAGACCACCAGUGGCGAAGGCGGCUUGCCAGAACGCACUCGACGGUGAGGGAUGAAAGCUGGGGGAGCAAACCGG
rnacentral:rRNA from 1 species